AUGCUGCAUCUCACAAGCUUCACUUUUUGUUGUGUUUGGUCAAGUUGUCUUCAUCUUCCUCUUCUUCAUCAAGCUCUGAUUCUUCCAGCAGUUCAUCUGAUUCAGAAGAUGAGGACAAAAAGCAAGGGAAGAAAAGAAGGAAAAAGAAGUAUCGCUCCUCACGGAAAUCUUCAGCAAGCACAACUUCAGAAUCUGAGUCAGACAGUAAGGAUAGCACAAAAAAGAAGAAGUCAAAGGAAGACUGUGAAAAAGAAAAGGAAGGGAAAAAUCACCACAGGAAAAGGAAGAAGGCAGAUCGUGGUGAUGGGCCUUUAUCAUCAGAUUCUGUAUCUGAAUCAGAUCAGAUAGAGGAGGUGCAAGCAAAAAAGAAGAAAAGCAAUGAGGAAAAAGAGAAAACAGCAAGUAUCCCUCUUACUCAUACUGUAGUUUUAGGAUUUAAAUACUAUGUACUUGGUCAAUUUCCAGUUUCACAUUUUUCACUAAUACAAAUGUUUCAUAGCAAUAAUCUACUGUUACAUCUAAAUUAACAGUUUCCCUAUUUGCUUGCUGAAGUCACUUUUUCAAUUGCUGAAUUAAAGAAGGAUUUGUCACUCUUUCGCCUACAUGUGAUUUGACAACUUUAACACUUAGAAUAUAUUUUAUUCCGUAUCAGCAUCCUAGAACUACUAAUAUCUGUGGUAUUAAGUAGGGGAGUAGUUUGCCACACAGACAUCAGGCCUGUUCCUUCAUUAGCACUGUUUGUAAUUCCUUGGUAAGCCUUUUCUGCCACCAUGGAAAGGGCCUUAGGACACAACUUCUGCAAUAUCUGUGCCAUUAUAACUCUUCCCCCAACCAAAUAAAAAGCUGCCAGCAACCUGUUAGUUUUCUCAAUAUUUUUGUUUGUAUCUAUUGGUAAAUGUGAGAGAAAGGUUCAGCAGUGAUUUAUAUGGAAUCCAGAUUUAUCACAUAUACCUCAGGUUCCUCAGUUAGGAGUAUAGUGUGUUUGGGAUCCUAAAUGCCCACUUGAGAUGCCUUUGUAUCUAUCUCCCCUGUCAGCAGCAGUGCUCCUUAUCGAGCAUCUCAGUUGUCCUUAUGGGGUAGGGCAAAGGGAAGGUCUACAUUAGUCACCUAAAAAUACAGGCAUAGGAGUAUCAGUGAUACUCAGUACACAUUCCAUGGAACUUGUUUUUUCAGACUCAUGAACCAUUUGCCAUAACAUUUCUAGUGACUCUUUAUGGUCUUUUUCAUAAAAUAUUUGUAUGUGUAAGGAAUAUAUAUAAACCAAAACUUUAAUACUGAUUGUUUCAUUUACAUAAUGCCACACCUAUUUGAGAAUUUCUGUUGAAAUUCUGCUUGCAAAAAACCAAAUAUUGCAUCUCUUAGCUUCUGUAUUACAGUGAUGACCAUACUUAAGGACUGAAUAUCCAGUAGGGUUAAUUUGAGUGUAUUUAUAUUUACAGUUGAGAUCAUAAUUGUUUUAUUUUAAACAAGGUACAAGUGAUAGUCAAGCCAAGUGCAGUUGAGCUAUUUAAUUUUACACAGUGAAUUUAAGCGCUUACUUUAAAAUCUGUAAACAUCCUAGUUAUUCCCAAAUAUGUCACUACUGGUCAAAGCACUUCCUUCUCAGUAAUCUGUAAUGCUCUGAAAAUAAUUUAAAAUACUAGGAAAUGUAAUAAUGACAGUGAUGAGAGGUGUGAAAUAGCCAUACCAUAGUGGAGAUAAAUUUAAAUUGAAGACUGCUCAUAAUAGUGCAAAUUUCUGGGUGAAGUAUUUCUUUUUGUGUUUUCUCAAUAGGCUUCUGUAGGAAUAUCUUUUGAAAUGUCUUUCAAAAGAUAACCUUUCUGUGUUCUCAUUUUGCAUUAGCAGAAUGUAAUAGAUGGCAAUUAUAUUAUGCAAUAACUUCCUUAUUUCUUUUUUUAGGAUAAAACAAAAAAGAGAAAGAAGCACAAGAAACAUGGUAAAAAGAAGAAAAAGAAGACUGCUGGUUCAAAUUCAGAUUCAGAAUAAUAUUUUAAAACAACCUGAGACUAUCAACAGAAGUGCAAUGACUAAAGGAAACUUAAACUGUGAAAUGACAGCAAACUUUACCAAACUGCAUGAGUUUUCCUGUGUUUUAUAAAUACUCCUAAUCUUUCAGUAGCCAGCCAGAUGCAGCUGUGCUGGGAAAGACCAUUGUUAUUGCCUGCUGCUUAAUACAUGAGGUACAACUUUUAUAAAAUUCCAGUAAGCAGUGUUAGAUGUUUGAGACAAUAUCAGAUGGUAAGCCAGCUGAGGUGUAAAAUAUUGAAAAAUAAGAGUUAAACUUCUUAGAUAGUAAAAAUAGACUUUUAAUGCAUUAGUAAUAGUCUUUAUUUGUAAAUCAGGACAAAUUAAAUCCCCAGUUCAUCCUGCAGGUUAAUAUUAUACAUAAACGACUACAAGCUGGUGUCUGCUAAUGGAAAAUUACUGAUAACAUUUAAAAGGCUGCCUUUGUAGAAAUGUGUAUCAUCUGCCCCGUUACUGUCUCCAUGCUUAUGAGAAAGGGAAUGCUACCAUUUUGGCUACCUGAAUAGGGUGCCUUUGCCUUUGAUUCUUGCAAAUCUCUGCUACUUUUAAUCCAUGCAUCUCUGCAUUCCUGGGAAGCUAGAGCUAUUGUCAGCAGACUUUUCUGAAUGAGCAGUUUUGAGCUUCCAAGCAUGUGCUUCUGCAUUAAGCAAGAGCAAUGACAUUUUGCAGUAUAACUGACAGUCAAAAACUGAAGACUUUACCUCUGCUUUUUUGAAAUAGUGAUAGACCUUUGCUAGUAAAUAUGCAUAUUUCAUUUAAUGUAAUUUUGGUUUAAUUGAAAACUUCUUGCAAACACUGGUAGCUUUCUUUGCAUUAUCUUUAGAAUUGUUUUGCAUGAUUUGUACCAUUUUUAAAUUAACGAAAUGCAGGUAAUCAUUUGUUGUAACCAGUUCUAUGAAUUACAUUUCACAUGCAGAUUUUCAUGUAUGUAUUUAGUUAUAGUUAAGUUCAUUGCUGUGUUUAAGUGCACACUUGCUGAAGUUAUUUAGCAUGUAAAAAGCAGGGUUUUGAUACCUUAACAGCUUCAUAUUGAAGCUGAUUUUACUCUAAGCAAGUUCAGUGGCAGAUCCAUGUGAUGUGUCUUGUUAGAUAAAAAAACUGCUACCAGAAUCUCAUUAAAGAUGCUGUUUAAACAGUUUGUAUUUAUAUUUUUGUACUUGAGGGCUACAGAAUGUUGACCUAAGUCAUAAAGCUGUUUUACUUUAGUUUAGUUGCUUUAAAUAACUGAAAAAAAAGCUUUUUUAAAUUAAAUGUGCCCACAAGAAAACUCGAGCAACCAUUUGAUUUUAGUUUACAUUCAUCUUCCAUUGAAAUACAGAUUGCUGGGCCUUCUGUUAGCUUUUAACAAAUGCCCAUCCAUCCCAGGUAGUCAAAUAUAGAUUGAAUUUUUGAUCUACCCUUUUUUUCCAUUGCACAGGUGCUAACUUAAAACUUACCUCUAUUGCAUACAGAUGUUUCAAAUGUUGUGUUCCCUAUAAUUUCAGGAGUUUUAAGACAUUGAUUAUUAGUCUGGAAACCAUAACUAAAAUCUGUGGGAGAAAGGUAAUUUCAUAUUGUCAUUGUACAGAGAAAUUGUCUUCAAGUUCUUGGGAAAAUACAAUUGAGUUGCAGCAAUGUGCAUCUAAACAAUAGUAAUAUUUUCAUCAAUUAUUUUAUACCUUUGGACUUGAUUUUACCAAUUCUAGACACUCUUGUCAGGUUAAAGUAAAGGUGAAAUGCAGUGAACAGAGGGGUUUGAUUUUGGGUUUGUGUUUAGUUUUGUUGGGGUUGUUUUCUUUUUAAGUUGUGGUGUUGCAGUUUUGGUAAAAGAACCUGUAAUGAACCAUGUAUAAAUGCUCUGUCCUGCAUAAUACCUUAUCUGACUUUUACACAACCACCUGCCACAGAAAGAAAUAAAAAUGGAAAUGAGACCCAGUCUUCCAAAUACCUAAGCCGGUAUGUCGUUUUAAUUGUGUGACUUGUGCUCAGCUCUGGGCUUGGAGUGCUGCUGUCAAGCUUGGGAAGGGUGUAGCCGCUUAAGGGUCUUAUGGGCUUUGUCCAUUCGCGACCAAGCAAGCUCCUGUCGUCCUCAAAGGGAACUGCUUCAGUUCGAAAUAGUUUAACAAAUGCGUUGAGUGUGCUCUUGCAUGCCCUUUUCCUGAAGGAAAGGUGGAGGCUGAUCCCAGCCUUUAAGCUUUCCCAGUGUGCCCAUGCCGAGGUCGUGAGACAGUGACUGGGAUUUUUGGUGGCACCUACACCCACGUUCCAAGUUUCAGCAGAGGGACAAAGCAGAAAACGAGCAAUGUCCGAAUAAGAAUGGUUUAAUAUAUUUUUGCUUUCUGAAAGCAGAUGAACAAGCGCUAUUUUAUGUUGUAUUAAACUUCUAGCUUUUUUUGUUUUCCCCCACAAACACGUUUAGAAAUUUGAAAUGCAGUUAUUUUUAACUGCAGUUUUUUUGAAUGCGUGUUAAGAUGUGAUCCAUUUUGGCUUUGUGUGUGUUUCUGUCCGGCCCGCCCGUGCGGCCCAGCGAGGCCGAGGCCGAGGCCGCCGCCCCGCGUUGCCAGGGCAGCGGCGG
ensembl:lncRNA